CUCUCUCUCUCUCUCUCUCUCUCUCUCUCUCUCUCAUGGGUAUCUCGUCGGUGUCUGCAAAGGAUUAGGUCAGCCACGUCAUCAUCAUCAUCAUCAUCGUCAUCAUCAUCAUCAUCAUCAUUAAACAGUAGUCGUAUAUAGUCUAUGGUACACACACAUACACCAAUUAGUUCGUACGUCCGCCACCAGUUGUAACGUCCACCUCUGUUUAAUGCGCAGUACGUGUCAUGAUAUAGUCUUGUGAUAAUGAUGUGUUGUCUUCUGGUAAUAACACUGAGAGAUCCUUCAGUCACAUCCUGCGGCCAUAUCGAUGUCAGUAAUGCGCGGUUGGUAUCAUGAUAGAAGCUGACGAUUAUGGUGAUGAUGUGUUGUCUUCAGGUAAUAUGAGUGAUAAGAGAUCCUUCUGUCAGGUCCUGUUCUCUUAUCUGUUUAUGGGUCCACAAUCACGGCUGGACUUUGGUUGUUUGAGUCCAGAGGUGCAUCUUGGCUUCUUACGGUUACUGGGCUACAUUGAAGUUUAGGCUCAAGUUUAGGUUUUGGACUUACGUGUUUGUUUGAUUAGUUUUGUUUUGGUUAGGUUUAGGGUUUAGGUUGAGUUAGUAAGAUUAGGUUAGCUUUUUAUGGUUACUGGCCUAGAUUGAAGUUUAGGCUCAAGUUUAGGUUUUGGACUUAAGUGUUUGUUUGAUUAGUUUUGUUUUGAUUAGGUUAAGUUUAGGGGUUAGGUUGAGUUAGUAAGAUUAGGUUAGCUUCUUAUGGCUACUGGGCUAUUGAAGUUUAGGCUUAAGUUUAGGUUUUGGACUUAGGUGUUGGUUUGAUAAGCUUUGUUUUGGUUAGGUUAAGUUUAGGGUUUAGGUUGAGUUAGUAAGAUUAGGUUAACUUCUCGUAUUCGUUUUAUAUUUCGUUUUAUAUUUCAUUCUUGUUUGUUUGAUUAGCUUUGUUUUGGUUAAGUUAAGUUGGUUGAGUUAGUAAGAUUAAAUUAACUUCUCGUAUUGGUUUCAUAUUUUAUCGAUUUCUUCAUAUGAUGUUCUUCUUUGCAAUAUUUUUUUUUCUUCUAUUUUUCUUUUGGUCUUGAGAUGCUUGUGUUUACUGACGAAUUGAAAUGGGAAGGGACAACAGUUUCUUUGGUUACGCUGGAUUAUAAUUAGGUUUACGCUGGGUUAGAAUUAGGUUUUUGGGUUUUAUUAGGUUAGAAUUAGGUUUUUGGGUUUUAUUAGGUUAGAAUUAGGUUUUUGGGUUUUAUUAGGUUAGAAUUAGGUUUUUGGGUUUUAUUAGGUUAGAAUUAGGUUUAUGGGGCUUAUUAGGUGAGAAUUAGGUUUAUGGGGCUUAUUAGGUGAGAAUUAGGUUUACGUUAGAAUUAGGUUUAAGCUGGGUUAGAAUUAGGUUUAUAUUAACUUUACUUAGGUUUGGUUUUAGGCUAGUUUACGUCAGGCUAGGUUCAUCUUCCUAUAGUUGUUUGCGUCUGUUUGUUUCUCUCUCUCUCUCUCUCUCUCUCUCUCUCUCUCUCUCUCUCUCUCUCAUGGCUACUCUUCUUCAGAUCUUGCUCGUGGCCACUUUUUGACCUUUUCGGUGGGUCGCUUACUUCACCUUAUUCUCGGACACUUUACUAUUAAUAUUCGCCUGUUCCCCUCGUCCCCUCAGUUGAUCCGCGCUGAUUCCCCUCAAUUCCUCCAUUCACUCAUCCUUACAGUACUGCUCCUCCGUCCUUCUCAACACAGCAGCACGCCACGCCACACCACUCUCACCCACUCACCCACUCACUCACGUACUCACUCACUAUACUUUACCCGUCACCCACACCGCUACUCUCACCCUCUCUCACAUUUUCU